AACGAACGCUGGCGGCAGGCUUAACACAUGCAAGUCGAACGAUGUAGCAAUACAUAGUGGCGCACGGGUGAGUAACGCGUGGGAAUAUACCUUAUAGUGGGGAAUAACUUUGGGAAACUAAAGCUAAUACCGCAUACGCCCGAGAGGGGAAAGAUUUAUCGCUAUAAGAUUAGCCCGCGUGAGAUUAGGUAGGUGGUGGGGUAAUGGCCUACCAAGACUACGAUCUCUAGCUGGUCUGAGAGGAUGAUCAGCCACACUGGAACUGAGAAACGGUCCAGACUCCUACGGGAGGCAGCAAGGGGGAAUCUUGGGCAAUGGAGUAAACUCUGACCCAGCCAUGCCGCGUGAAUGAUGAAGGCCUUAGUGUUGUAAAGUUCUUUCGCCGAUGAGGAUAAUGACGGUAGUCGGAGAAGAAGCCCCGGCUAACUUCGUGCCAGCAGCCGCCGUAA
rnacentral:rRNA from 1 species